rnacentral:rRNA from 1 species
GACAGAGGGUGCAAACGUUGUUCGGAAUUACUGGGCGUAAAGCGCGUGUAGGCGGCUAAGUAAGUCGGGCGUGAAAUCCCACGGCUCAACCGUGGAAGUGCACUCGAAACUGCAUAGCUAGAGUCCUGGAGAGGAAGGUGGAAUGCUUGGUGUAGAGGUGAAAUUCGUAGAUAUCAAGCGGAACACCGGUGGCGAAGGCGGCCUUCUGGACAGUGACUGACGCUGAGACGCGAAAGCGUGGUGAGCAAACAGG